rnacentral:rRNA from 1 species
AGCGAACGCUGGCGGCAGGCCUAACACAUGCGAGUCGAACGAACCUUUCGGGGUUAGUGGCGGACGGGUGAGUAACACGUGGGAACGUGCCUUUAGGUUCGGAAUAACUCAGGGAAACUUGUGCUAAUACCGAAUGUGCCCUUCGGGGGAAAGAUUUAUCGCCUUUAGAGCGGCCCGCGUCUGAUUAGCUAGUUGGUUGAGGUAAUGGCUCACCAAGGCGACGAUCAGUAGCUGGUCUGAGAGGAUGAUCAGCCACAUUGGGACUGAGACACGGCCCAAACUCCUACGGGAGGCAGCAGUGGGGAAUCUUGCGCAAUGGGCGAAAGCCUGACGCAGCCAUGCCGCGUGAAUGAUGAAGGUCUUAGGAUUGUAAAAUUCUUUCACCGGGGACGAUAAUGACGGUACCCGGAGAAGAAGCCCCGGUUAACUUCGUG